UCGAAGUAUUAUUUAGACUAUAAUAUAAGAGGCCCACUUAAUUUUUAUGAACCCGUUAGAACAAGAAGAUGGCAUCCACAUUAUUGGCCCUCUCAUUUAAUGGACUAUACUCCUACGGAUGAGUCUUUGAGACAAUUAAGAAUAAGAAAUCAUUUCUACAGACUACGAAAUUCGACCUGAAAAUUGCUAUGAAUUUUAUUAUUAAUUAUAAAAACAUUUGUUAUAACGACCAAUAAACACAUUUAUUUCAAAAAUA